rnacentral:rRNA from 1 species
UACGGGGGGGGGCAAGCGUUGUUCGGAAUUACUGGGCGUAAAGGGCUCGUAGGCGGCCAACUAAGUCGGAUGUGAAAUCCCCCAAGCUUAACUUGGGAACUGCAUCCGAUACUGGAUGGCUUGAAUCCGGGAGAGGGAUGCAGAAUUCCAGGUGUAGCGGUGAAAAUGCGUAGAUAUCUGGAGGAAUACCGGUGGCGAAGGCGGCAUCCUGGACCGGCAUUGACGCUGAGGAGCGAAAAGCUAGGGGGAGCAAACGGG